rnacentral:rRNA from 1 species
UACGUAGGGUGCAAGCGUUGUCCGGAAUUAUUGGGCGUAAAGGGCUCGUAGGCGGUCCAUCACGUCGGGAGUGAAAAGCUGGGGCUUAACCCCAGUCCUGCUUCCGAUACGGGUGGACUAGAGGUAGGCAGGGGAGAACGGAAUUCCUGGUGUAGCGGCGAAAUGCGCAGAUAUCAGGAGGAACACCGGUGGCGAAGGCGGUUCUCUGGGCCUUACCUGACGCUGAGGAGCGAAAGCGUGGGGAGCAAACAGG